GUCCACGGCCAUACCACCCUGAACGCGCCCAGUCUCAUCUGACCUCGGAAGCUAAGCGGGGUCAGGCCUGGUUAGUACCUGGAUGAGAGGGGAUCUUGAGAAACACUGUUUAACCGAAGCAU
rnacentral:rRNA from 1 species